rnacentral:lncRNA from 1 species
GCCAGAUGAGCAAGCUUGUCGGCCAACAAUGGCUGGCUGUUUUGUUGCAGGGAGGAGAAGAAAAAUCGCAGGGGAGAAGAGAGAGAGGAGAAGAAUCAGAUUUAAAAAUCUGGCUUGCAAAAAUUACGAUUUUACCCCUCAAAGUAUUUUGAUCGUAUUUCCUUCGUUAUAACCCCGAUUUGAGCUCACAAUGUGUCUACGGACUCAUUUCAUCACACUCUGUGCAACGGUACAAGAGAAAUUUUCAAAUUCUUCUUCGGUAAAAAAAAAAAACCUAAAAAAAAAGUCAACUUUUCUUUAAUAGUUUGUUCUAGGGGCAAAAUUGUCCUUUCCUCUUAAUAAAUUAAGAAUUAAAUAUUAAUUAAGGAUCGGGUUAUUACAUCAAAUCUCUAAAACUG